rnacentral:RNase_P_RNA from 1 species
GCGGAUGGCCGGACGGCCGCGGGCCGAAAGGUUCGAGGAAAGUCCGGACUCCAUGAGACAAGGGUGCCGGGUAACGCCCGGCGGGGGCAACCCCAGGGAAAGCGCCACAGAGAAGAGUCUGCCCGGUGCCGCGACCCUAUCGCGGGAAGCCGGGGUCAGGGUGAAACGGUGGGGUAAGAGCCCACCGCGGACCGGGCAACCGGGACGGCACGGCAAGCCCCACCCGGAGCAAUGCCGAAUAGGGGCCUCGCGCGGAAAGGUCCGGGUUCACAGCGCGCCGCGCUGCCGGAGACCUCCGCAGGGACGUCUCAGCCCGGAGGCCCGGGUUGGCAAGCUUGACCCGCCGGUAACGGCGGUGGCAGAGGAAUGGUCGUCAAGGGGGCAACCCCGGAACAGAAUCCGGCUUACAGGCCAUCCGCGCGG